rnacentral:rRNA from 1 species
CCCUUCGGGGUGGAUCAGUGGCGAACGGGUGAGUAACACGUGGGCAAUCUGCCCUGCACUCUGGGACAAGCCCUGGAAACGGGGUCUAAUACCGGAUACGACCUUCCUCUGCAUGGGGGUUGGUGGAAAGCUCCGGCGGUGCAGGAUGAGCCCGCGGCCUAUCAGCUUGUUGGUGGGGUAAUGGCCUACCAAGGCGACGACGGGUAGCCGGCCUGAGAGGGCGACCGGCCACACUGGGACUGAGACACGGCCCAGACUCCUACGGGAGGCAGCAGUGGGGAAUAUUGCACAAUGGGCGCAAGCCUGAUGCAGCGACGCCGCGUGAGGGAUGACGGCCUUCGGGUUGUAAACCUCUUUCAGCAGGGAAGAAGCGCAAGUGACGGUACCUGCAGAAGAAGCACCGGCUAACUACGUGCCAGCAGCCGCGGUAAUACGUAGGGUGCGAGCGUUGUCCGGAAUUAUUGGGCGUAAAGAGCUCGUAGGCGGCCUGUCGCGUCGGAUGU